rnacentral:rRNA from 1 species
AUUGAACGCUAGCGGCAGGCCUAACACAUGCAAGUCGAACGAGUGGCGGACGGGUGAGUAAUAUAUGGGAACGUGCCCAAUAGAGGGGGAUAACUACUCGAAACCGUGGCUCAUACCGCAUCCUAUUGGAGGAGCCAAUAUCGGAUUAGCUAGUUGGUGGGGGAAAGGAUCACCAAGGCACCGAUCCGUAGCUGGUUUGAGAGGAAGACCAGCCACACUGGGACUGAGACACGGUCCAUACUCCUACGGGAGGCAGCAGGGGGGAAGUUUGGACAAUGGGGGAAAGCAUGAUCCAGCCAUGCCGCGUGUAUGAGAAGGCGUUCGGGUUGUAAAGUACUUUUGGCUGGGAAGCGGUAUCUGCAGAAGAAGCACCGGCUAACUACGUGCCAGCCGCCGCGGUAAUAC